rfam:Canis lupus familiaris chromosome 7, whole genome shotgun sequence.
UGCCUGCUUCUGUGUGAUAUGUUUGAUAUUGGGUUGUUUAAUUAGGAAUCAACUAAAUAUCGAACAUAUUCUUACAGCAGUGGGCA